AACAUACAGACAAAAAUGGUACUGUUGUGCUGCUACAUGUCAGGACAUUCUGGCAGAAACAUACAGAUAGAAGAUGAUAUGUUGUGCUGCCACAUGUCAGGACAUUCUGGUAGAAACAUACAGACAG